ACUGACGCUGAGGCUCGAAAGCGUGGGGAGCAAACAGGAUUAGAUACCCUGGUAGUCCACGCCGUAAACGAUGAUUACUAGGUGUGGGGGGAUUGACCCCUUCCGUGCCGCAGUUAACACAAUAAGUAAUCCACCUGGGGAGUACGACCGCAAGGUUGAAACUCAAAGGAAUUGACGGGGGCCCGCACAAGCAGUGGAGUAUGUGGAUUAAUUCGAAGCAACGCGAAGAACCUUACCAGGUCUUGACAUCAAGUGACCGUUCUAGAGAUAGGACCUUCUCUUCGGAGACACGAAGACAGGUGGUGCAUGGUUGUCGUCAGCUCGUGUCGUGAGAUGUUGGGUUAAGUCCCGCAACGAGCGCAACCCUUAUGAUUAGUUGCUACGCAAGAGCACUCUAAUCAGACUGCCGUUGACAAAACGGAGGAAGGUGGGGAUGACGUCAAAUCAUCAUGCCCUUUAUGACCUGGGCCUCACACGUACUACAAUGGCGUUUAACAAAGAGCAGCGAGAGGGAAAGGUGGAGCAAAUCUCCAAAAAACGUCUCAGUUCAGAUUGCUGUCUGCAACU
rnacentral:rRNA from 1 species